rnacentral:misc_RNA from 1 species
GGAAGCUAGAACACCUGCAAUAUCUGGAAGUCUAUAAAAACAAUAUUCAAGGAAGCAUCCCUAGUGAGCUUGGUAACUUGAGGAACCUCGUGAGCUUGGAUUUGUACAACAACAACAUCUCAGGGAUCAUUCCUACUUCUCUGGGGAAAUUGAAGUCCCUUGUCUUUUUACGUCUUAAUGGCAAUCGACUAACUGGACCAAUCCCAAGGGAACUUGUAGGUAUUUCAAGCCUCAAAGUUGUGGAUGUCUCA